UACGUAGGGGGCAAGCGUUGUCCGGAUUUAUUGGGCGUAAAGAGCGCGCAGGCGGUAUGACAAGUCAGAUGUGAAAGAGGCCGGCUUAACCGGCAAGGGUCAUUUGAAACUGUCAGACUAGAGUGCAGCAGAGGAUAGUGGAAUUCCCGGUGUAGUGGUGAAAUGCGUAGAUAUCGGGAGGAACACCAGUGGCGAAGGCGACUAUCUGGGCUGCAACUGACGCUGAGGCGCGAAGGCUAGGGUAGCAAACAGG
rnacentral:rRNA from 1 species